rnacentral:rRNA from 1 species
AGCAGCCGCGGUAAUUCCAGCUCCAAUAGCGUAUAUUAAAGUUGUUGCAGUUAAAAAGCUCGUAGUUGAAUUUCGAGACCGGUCUACUGGUCGUGCUUUUGUACGUACUGGUUUUAUUGGUUUCUCCUUUCUGACGAACUAUAAUGCCAUUAAUUUGGUGUUAUGGGGAAUCAGGACUGUUACUUUGAAAAAAUUAGAGUGUUUAAAGCAGGCUCACGCUUGAAUACAUUAGCAUGGAAUAACGGAAUAGGACGUUUGAUUCUAUUUUGUUGGUUUCCGGGACGGUCGUAAUGAUUAAUAGGGAUAGUUGGG